GGGGAAUAUUGGACAAUGGGCGAAAGCCUGAUCCAGCCAUGCCGCGUGUGUGAAGAAGGUCUUCGGAUUGUAAAGCACUUUAAGUUGGGAGGAAGGGCUGUUACCUAAUACGUGACAGUUUUGACGUUACCAACAGAAUAAGCACCGGCUAACUUCGUGCCAGCAGCCGCGGUAAUACGAAGGGUGCAAGCGUUAAUCGGAAUUACUGGGCGUAAAGCGCGCGUAGGCGGUUUGAUAAGUUGGAUGUGAAAGCCCCGGGCUCAACCUGGGAAUUGCAUCCAAAACUGUCUGACUAGAGUACGGUAGAGGGUGGUGGAAUUUCCUGUGUAGCGGUGAAAUGCGUAGAUAUAGGAAGGAACAUCAGUGGCGAAGGCGACCACCUGGACUGAUACUGACGCUGAGGUGCGAAAGCGUGGGGAGCAAAC
rnacentral:rRNA from 1 species